rnacentral:rRNA from 1 species
CCUACGGGAGGCAGCAGUAGGGAAUCUUUCACAAUGGGCGAAAGCCUGAUGGAGCAACGCCGCGUGCAGGAUGAAGGCCUUCGGGUUGUAAACUGCUUUUAUAAGCGAGAAAUAUGAUGGUAACUUAUGAAUAAGGAUCGGCUAACAACGUGCCAGCAGCCGCGGUCAUACGUAGGAUCCGAGCAUUAUCCGGAGUGACUGGGUGUAAAGAGUGGCGUUGGUGGCAUAAUAAGUAGCUAGUGAAAUCUGGUGGCUCAACCAUUCAGACUAUUAGCUAAACUGUUAAGCUCGAGACCGUUAGGGGUAACUGGAAUUUCUAGUGUAGGAGUGAAAUCCGUAGAUAUUAGAAAGAACACCAAUAGCGUAGGCAGGUUGCUGGGACGGUUCUGACACUAAGGCACGAAAGCGUAGGGAGCAAACGGGAUUAGAUACCCGGGUAGUC